AGUGAACGUUGGCGGCGUGCCUAACACAUGCAAGUCGAACGAGAACCGAGUAGCUUGCUACUCGGGGAAAGUGGCGAACGGGUGAGUAACACGUGAGCAAUCUACCCUCGAGUGAGGAAUAACCCCGCGAAAGCGGGCUAAUACCGCAUGAUGCUCUGGAGCAUAAGCUUUCAGAGUUAAAGCCCUCGGGCGCUUGAGGAUGAGCUUGCGUCCUAUUAGCUUGUUGGUAGGGUAACGGCCUACCAAGGUUAUGAUGGGUAGCCGGCCUGAGAGGGUGUCCGGCCACACUGGAACUGGGACACGGUCCAGACUCCUACGGGAGGCAGCAGUGGGGAAUUUUGCGCAAUGGGCGAAAGCCUGACGCAGCGACGCCGCAUGGAGGAUGAAGGCUUUCGGGUUGUAAACUCCUGUCAGAGGUGAAGAAAACCCCCUUCGGGGGGCUUGACGGUAACCUCAGAGGAAGCCCCGGCUAACUACGUG
rnacentral:rRNA from 1 species